CCACCCCUCCCCCGCGGCCGCGCAAAGCUUUUCACAGCCCGACGCUGGGUCCCGGCAGGGGGCAGCAGGAGACCGCGGAUGAAGGGAUAUGGUGAAAAUUAAGACAAAGCCCUGCCCUCCUGGACUUUAUUUCCAAGGGGUAUAGCCAAAAAAUGUCCAACCUACCACACAAUUGCACUCAUCUCACAUGCUAGCACAAUAAUGCUCAGAAUUCUCCAAGCCAGG